ACUCCUACGGGAGGCAGCAGUGGGGAAUAUUGCACAAUGGGCGCAAGCCUGAUGCAGCCAUGCCGCGUGUGUGAAGAAGGCCUUCGGGUUGUAAAGCACUUUCAGUUGUGAGGAAGGUGGUGUCGUUAAUAGCGGCAUCAUUUGACGUUAGCAACAGAAGAAGCACCGGCUAACUCCGUGCCAGCAGCCGCGGUAAUACGGAGGGUGCGAGCGUUAAUCGGAAUUACUGGGCGUAAAGCGCAUGCAGGUGGUUUGUUAAGUCAGAUGUGAAAGCCCGGGGCGUCAACCUCGGAACUGCAUUUGAAACUGGCAGACUAGAGUACUGUAGAGGGGGGUAGAAUUUCAGGUGUAGCGGUGAAAUGCGUAGAGAUCUGAAGGAAUACCGGUGGCGAAGGCGGCCCCCUGGACAGAUACUGACACUCAGAUGCGAAAGCGUGGGGAGCAAACAGGAUUUGAUACCCCUGGGUAGCACAGGAG
rnacentral:rRNA from 1 species